GGAAUCUUGGACAAUGGGGGCAACCCUGAUCCAGCGACGCCGCGUGGGUGAUGAAGGCCUUCGGGUUGUAAAGCCCUUUCGCCGGGGACGAUGAUGACGGUACCCGGGGAAGAAGCACAGGCGAACUCCGUGCCAGCAGCCGCGGUAAGACGGAGGGUGCUAGCGUUGUUCGGAAUCACUGGGCGUAAAGGGCGCGUAGGCGGCGGGUCAAGUCGGCGUUCGUGAAAGCCCGGGGCUCAACCCCGGAGGUGCGGCCGAAACUGAUCUGCUGGAGGCCGGAAGAGGAGGGUGGAAUACCCAGUGUAGAGGUGAAAUUCGUAGAUAUUGGGUGGAACACCGGUGGCGAAAGCGGCUCUCUGGUCCGGUCCUGACGCUGAGGCGCGAAAGCGUGGGGAGCAAAC
rnacentral:rRNA from 1 species